GGCGAACGCUGGCGGCGUGCUUAACACAUGCAAGUCGAACGAUGAAGCCGGAGCUUGCUCUGGUGAAUUAGUGGCGAACGGGUGAGUAACACGUGAGUAACCUGCCCUUGACUCUGGGAUAACUGCGGGAAACUGUAGCUAAUACCGGAUACGACCCUCGGAGGCAUCUCCUGGGGGUGGAAAGAAUUUCGGUCAAGGAUGGACUCGCGGCCUAUCAGCUAGUUGGUGAGGUAAAGGCUCACCAAGGCGGCGACGGGUAGCCGGCCUGAGAGGGUGACCGGCCACACUGGGACUGAGACACGGCCCAGACUCCUACGGGAGGCAGCAGUGGGGAAUAUUGCACAAUGGGCGCAAGCCUGAUGCAGCAACGCCGCGUGAGGGAUGACGGCCUUCGGGUUGUAAACCUCUUUUAGCAGGGAAGAAGCGAAAGUGACGGUACCUGCAGAAAAAGCACCGGCUAACUACGUGCCAGCCGCCGCGGUAA
rnacentral:rRNA from 1 species